CACCUGUCACACACUGAAGACCUAUAGGUUCACCACUGUACUAACCUGUCACAUACUGAAGACCUAUAGGUUCACCACUGUAUUAACCUGUCACACACUGAAGACCUAUAGGUUCACCACUGUAUUAACCUGUCACACACUGAAGACCUAUAGGUUCACCACUGUAUUAACCUGUCACACACUGAAGACCUAUAGGUUCACCACUGUAUUAACCUGUCACACACUGAAGACCUAUAGGUUCACCACUGUACUAACCUGUCACACACUGAAGGCCUAUAGGUUCACCACUGUACUAACCUGUAACACACUGAAGACCUAUAGGUUCA